rnacentral:lncRNA from 1 species
CACACAUUCUGUAUUUAUAGCCAGAGCUUCAUUUAUUUUUCUCAAUCACUUAUCAAAAACGAACUGUCAAGCCAAUAUUUGAGGAAAUUAUUUUGCUGUCUUCAGAAAAACCAUUCCAUAGUUAAUAAUUUCAUAAAGAGUAGAGUCUUAGGAGUAGGUCCUUUGUGUCCCUAGCUUUAUGAAUUGGAAGAGUGCCUUGGGGAAUGGCAGGCCUCAAAGUGAGCUCUUGGCAUCGGUGAGGUGAAAACUGGGGGCUGGCUGGAGAGAUGUGUCAGUGGGCAAGGUGCACGCAAGCCUGCUCCCUGAGUUUAGCCCCUGGGACCCCAUAAAGAAAGGAGAGAACCUCUCCACGGAGUUUCUGUCAGGCCUCCACGUGUGCUGUGACAACUUUCUAAAGAAAUAAAAUUGGGAUCUGGCUCUUGAUCAGCCCCAGGCUGAAGGCAUCUAAUUCCACAGCUGAAGUUCAAUCUGCAUUCAGACCUCUGACAAAGUAUUUUAGUAGAGUUUGGUUUAUAUUAUAAUACGAUACUUUGGCCCUUAAGUAUUCGAUAGAUUUGCCCUUAACUGUUUGACUUUGGUCAAGACAUUGCAUAGAAAGUAUUCUUUUCACUCAGAAGUUAGAAAUGACAUCCAAUUUACUUCAUGUGGCCUAUGUUCAAAAGUAACGUGUUGUGUUUCUGUCACCAUUGAGACGUAAAUAUUGCAGCUUCUGUUCACACUGUGGCUUGUGUUCUGACUGUGAGAAAGCUUACAUAUAUUUGAAACGAAAAUGUGUCCUGAGUAAACAAGUGCUAAUAAAAAAAGAAUUCUCUAGGCUUAGGAGAACUGUAUUUUAUACUUCAGAAUACACUGUAGUCGAAGAGUAGCAGACCUUUCAAGACAGUAUUAAAGCUAUGUUAUUCCAGU